GCCGAAGUGGCGGAACGGCAGACGCGCUGCGUUCAGGGCGCAGUGGGCGCAAGCCCGUGUGGGUUCAAAUCCCACCUUCGGCACCA
rnacentral:tRNA from 1 species